GUGUGUUCCAGGUAAAUCCGGUUCACUUUAACACUGAGGCGUGAUGACGAGGCACUACGGUGCUGAAGCAACAAAUGCCCUGCUUCCAGGAAAAGCCUCUAAGCAUCAGGUAACAUCAAAUCGUACCCCAAACCGACACAGGUGGUCAGGUAGAGAAUACCAAGGCGCUUGAGAGAACUCGGGUGAAGGAACUAGGCAAAAUGGUGCCGUAACUUCGGGAGAAGGCACGCUGACACGUAGGUGAAGUGAUUUACUCAUGGAGCUGAAGUCAGUCGAAGAUACCAGCUGGCUGCAACUGUUUAUUAAAAACACAGCACUGUGCAAACACGAAAGUGGACGUAUACGGUGUGACGCCUGCCCGGUGCCGGAAGGUUAAUUGAUGGGGUCAGCGCAAGCGAAGCUCCUGAUCGAAGCCCCGGUAAACGGCGGCCGUAACUAUAACGGUCCUAAGGUAGCGAAAUUCCUUGUCGGGUAAGUUCCGACCUGCACGAAUGGCGUAAUGAUGGCCAGGCUGUCUCCACCCGAGACUCAGUGAAAUUGAACUCGCUGUGAAGAUGCAGUGUACCCGCGGCAAGACGGAAAGACCCCGUGAACCUUUACUAUAGCUUGACACUGAACAUUGAGCCUUGAUGUGUAGGAUAGGUGGGAGGCUUUGAAGUGUGGACGCCAGUCUGCAUGGAGCCGACCUUGAAAUACCACCCUUUAAUGUUUGAUGUUCUAACGUGGACCCGUGAUCCGGGUUGCGGACAGUGUCUGGUGGGUAGUUUGACUGGGGCGGUCUCCUCCUAAAGAGUAACGGAGGAGCACGAAGGUUGGCUAAUCCUGGUCGGACAUCAGGAGGUUAGUGCAAUGGCAUAAGCCAGCUUGACUGCGAGCGUGACGGCGCGAGCAGGUGCGAAAGCAGGUCAUAGUGAUCCGGUGGUUCUGAAUGGAAGGGCCAUCGCUCAACGGAUAAAAGGUACUCCGGGGAUAACAGGCUGAUACCGCCCAAGAGUUCAUAUCGACGGCGGUGUUUGGCACCUCGAUGUCGGCUCAUCACAUCCUGGGGCUGAAGUAGGUCCCAAGGGUAUGGCUGUUCGCCAUUUAAAGUGGUACGCGAGCUGGGUUUAGAACGUCGUGAGACAGUUCGGUCCCUAUCUGCCGUGGGCGCUGGAGAACUGAGGGGGGCUGCUCCUAGUACGAGAGGACCGGAGUGGACGCAUCACUGGUGUUCGGGUUGUCAUGCCAAUGGCACUGCCCGGUAGCUAAAUGCGGAAGAGAUAAGUGCUGAAAGCAUCUAAGCACGAAACUUGCCCCGAGAUGAGUUCUCCCUGAGACUUUAGGUCUCCUGAAGGAACGUUGAAGACGACGA
rnacentral:rRNA from 1 species